GUCAGCACUGAGUUCAAUGCAAUGUCUCACAAUUGCUGUGCUUACUGUCUCCGAAGUGCUCAGAUUCUCUCUCUGUGCCACAGGGCUGCUGCUGGGGGAUGGGGAAGAGAUGGCAUUGGUGAUUCAAGACUCUUUGCUAUCCUCUUCAAUGCCUCUUUCAGUGUAGGAAGUUAAAAUCAGUUAUGUAAUGGAAUUGAAUGAAGCAAGUGUCAGAUCUACAUCUCUACAAACACUCACUUUAUCAGUUCAGAGAAUAAAGAGAUGAAUUUAAUAAUGCCACUGGACACUUAUACUCUAUCGGAUCCUAAUAAUUUCUCACACUAAUGAAUUCUUCUAUCAACUUCAUGUUAAUCAAGAGGAGACAGAGCCAAGAAGUGAGUAAUUGCUUACUGAAUUGUGAAAGCUGGGAUGAUUUAACUACAGCCUCCCUAGAAUGUGACAGUCCACAGAAAUAUCUGAUUUCAAAGAGAUGCUUGCAUUCUGUACUGAUGCCAUCUAGAAUUGUAAAUGACCAGUGUCACACUGCUAAGUGGAGAAAGCGUGAAAGAAGAAUCCCAUCAGUACAUUCACGAUAGAGGAAAUAAGAAACAAUGAAAGCCACAAGUAAGUCCUGAGUUGAUCAACAGUAUUGCACUUCUCCAGGUUUACUCGAAGGCAGCAAAAUUGGCCCUACUCCCAACCCUGCAACAUGCACCAUUUCCAUAAACAAUCUACAGAGAUGGCUGAGAAAAAGAAAAAGGGGUACUCUCCUUUACCCCUUCUCCAAAGCCCGAUGAAGUAAAGAGUAGAAAUCAAGAGUGUCUACAAGAAUUGGGGAUUGGCAUUGAUUCUCCACUGUGUGAUUACUCAUGCUUUAUGGCAAUGUGCCUAUUUAAAGGGCAGGUAAUGACUUAGCAAGAAGGAAGGAGAGAGAAUGUCAAACUCACCUGAAGUCUUACCAAUUGGUGUGGCAGGUAUGUGGCUGUUUCCCAUGAGUGAAUACACUAUAAGAUUAUUAGGCUCUAGCUGUUUUGCUUGUAUCUAAUCCAGGUGACACCAGCAUUUAGAGACUAUGAGGUGUACUGGGAGCUGAGAUAAUGAAAGAGGUAGCAUUAAAGUAAUAUCCCCCAAAUUAUGGCAGAUCUAUGGUUAGAAGCCUAAGAAUAACAUGUGAAAACCUCAUGUCAGAGCCUGACAAUAUACCAGAAUUUGGAUACCUGCCAUACAGAAGGUACCAGCCGCCAAGGGGUAACUGUCAGAAAAGUGACAACAAUCACAAGUUGGGAAAAGGACUUGUCUCUUUGCCCCUCACUCCUCUCUGUGCCCAAUAAUUUGGAUGAGCUAUUGCCUACAGAAUGAAAGGAGAGUUGUAGGGCUAUGAAUCAAAUAUGAGACAAGUUUUAAAUGAGAAGAAAGUAACAUUUAAUAAGCAAAAAUGCCCAGAGAACUAUGGAAUCAUCCCAAGAAAGGAUUAAUAAACAAAAAUUGGAUUCAAUAGAAAACACAUCAGAGAAAAAAGUUAAUAUUUUUAUACCAUAGAUGUGAGAGUCCUUAAUGCACUAGUUACAGCAUAUUAGUGCAUUAUGUACAUUCCAUGUGACUCUCUUAUUACCACUAUACCCACAAUGCUUAGAACUGGGUCCUCAAUAAUCGAGUAUGGGUGGCUAAAGGACUUUUCAUUUUAUGUGGCAGAGGAUAAUAAUAAAAAAAGAAAUAAUAGAGGAAGAAACUGGCUUUGGUGUUCUAGACAUAUUAGGGCUGAAACCCAAAUAUUCAGUUACCUGUUUUGCUUGGCCUACAUCCAUUUUCAGCAGUGCACUCAAAGUCUCCAAAGAAAUUUGCAGAGAAUUUCUUCCAGUAGCCCCAAGAGUUCUCAGCAUAAGUACUGGAAAAACUCACUAGCAUGGAGGAUGCUUCUCUCCAGUGGAAUCAACAGUGGCCUCUGCUGAUUCAGAGACUUCAGUGUUCCACAGUGAAACUAGAUUGUGAUGAGAGCAAAUAUGGCUGGAAGGCAACACUGCUCAGGUGGUUAGAGCGUGAGUUCUGUAGUAUCAAGGAGCUUUUUUCUCAGUGUGUCUGUCAGUGGAGAAUUUGGGGGAAAGAUCAAAUCAAAUUGCUAAAUAAAACAUAAAGCCCCACAGAGAUGGAAGCCAGCAAUAUGUGUAUGCUGUGGUUUGGGUGCCCCCUUUACCUUCCAGAAUGUCUUUGAACUGCAUGUUGAGCUGGUUUCACCUGGGUGAAAACAUGAGGGAAAAGGAAGUAAGGGAAGGAUGGACAGAUAGUGGUAGAGACUGAUGACCACUUCAAGUAAGUGUGCUAUCAGGAGAAUAACUCUCCCAUGUCUUCAUAGGAGUCAGUGAACAGUCACCUGUUGUAUAGAAUCACCCAUGGGCAGUCACUGGUUACCAGCAGCAGCACCAACCAACCACCUGAGAAUUACACCAAUGGUCAGUUAGGCAAAGAGACAUCUGCCUCCCUCUCCUCUUCCCCAACACUUAGAUUUUACUUAUCACUGAUUCUUGCAUAGAAAUGGUUCUGACUGGUGAAAACAAAGAGAAAAAUAUGUUGAAGGAAGUACCUAUGAACCUAAUUAUUAUUUUACUCAUUUUUUUCUCCAAAGUCUAUUGAUAAAUAAUGUUUUCAGUGUCAACUUUGACUUUAUUUUCAAUAUACAAAGUCAAACUAAAAACUUUCGUAUUUCAGGUUGAAAUUUAUAGUGUAACUCUUUACUUUUAAUGGCUUCCAGUUGUUCUAUUUUGGUUUCUGGCAGAAAUCCUUUUGGUAUGUUACAUAGAAAUAUAGAUAGAUAAAGGAAAGCCAAUUAUCUUUUCUUUACAGAGAAAUAUCCUGAAUGCUGUAAGUUGAGGGGAAUGGCAGGGUAUGUACUGGUAUGACUGGCCAAUACAGAAUCUAGUCUAGCUGAGAUAUGGCUUUUAGUAGGAAGCCUCAUAGGGAACAUGAUGGAGGAAAAUCCUUUCAUUUAUGGUAUCAAGAGAUUUUCAUUUUAAUCCCAGCUAUAUUUUACAUCAAUGUUGUCAUGCAUUCUAUCUUCUCUGGGCUUGAGAUAUACAAGAUGAGGAUGCUGAUUUAGCAGAAGUUCAAGCAUCCUUUCCAAGGUGAACAUCUAUGACCACUCAGUGUUGAGAAUUACUUCAGACUAUUAUUAACACUAUUAUUAACCAAAGGAAGGACCCCCCUGAUUACUGAUCAGUUCUCCAGUCCAUUGGGAAAUCCUUCUAAAGGCCAUUUCAUUUCAGACUGAAAUGUACAAAUGUAUAAAGAGUGGAAAAGACAUCAAAACUAAAAAUACUAUGUUAAACUUUGUUCCAUAUAGGACAAUACAUCAAAGAUUAAAGUUAGGUUGAAAGCAAAGUUCUAUGAGGAUAAGAACGGAGUCUGUCUUAUUUAUUGUUUUAUUGUCAGUGCUCAGCUCAGAAUGACAUUUAAGAAGUGUUUAAAUGACUAUUGGCUGAAUUAUUAAAUGCAGAUAAUUGGUUACAGUGAAAAAAAAAAAGUUUGUGGGAAAAAAAACUGCGUAGCUGGAUUCCUGUGAUCCCACAUCAUCCCAACCCUGUAAGUUCAGGGUCCAGGCCAAUAUAAACAUGAGACAGAAUAUAAUAAUGCAGUAUCUGCCUCAGAAUCUAGGCAGCAAGACCCACAGCACUUUGCCCCUUGAGUGACCACUGCAUUACUUCAUUGGAUCCCCAGUCCUUCUUGAUACCAGAGUGAGUAGGAGUUAUUUAAUUCCAGUGCUGACUACUAGCCUUCUCUAGUCAAAGCUGACCCUCUGUUGCAGACAAUUCACCUCUAAUCCCUCAUUUCAGAGUCUUCUCUCUCCCUAUUGUUAUGAGUGCCACUUACAGUCAGGUUUCUGCUUUAAUCACUGCUUUAUAUUCUGACUUAAGUCAGUUGCCAGCUUCUACCGUAUCCCAGUGGUGAUUGUACACUUAAGUAGAUUUCUUAGAGUCCCAUAAUUAUGUAAAGACGCCCCUCACCUAAAUCCCAAUCCAAAGGCCAAGGCCCCAUUAUCCAUCAUCAGCAGUUUCAUCCACACAAUUUUAUCUUAUUACCUAGAAUUCUGAAUUUGCACAUCGGCUUUCCCAUCCUGUUGCUCUUUUUGGAGCUGCUUUCUAUGCAGAAUUCUUGCUGUCUUGCUCUUCUGAUGGAAUCUCCACCUAUGGACAGGGCUGAUGGGCACAGUAACCUAAAUCUUCCUUAGCUUGGUAUAAAUAAAUUAUUACAUUUGCCAGGUUGUCCUGAGUUGUAAUAAUAAGUCAUUCAUUGCACCUAUACGAGCAACUAACAUCGCUUUUCAUUUUUAAUCUAUGUGAACAUGAUCUGACAAGAAUAUUAAAUAUUCAGACCCUAAAUUUUCAAAUGAUAAACCAGUGGGAAAGUUGUUACUAGAAUUUCUAAUUUUAAAAGGAAUGUUCCAUCAUAUUAUUUUUGAAAUAUGUAAGUAAAAAAAACUAAAAUGCACUCAUUAUCAUAGUCUUUAAAAUGAUGUGUAAAGAACUGAAAGUCUCCCUUUUACUAAUUCUAUUGUUUAGAGAAAAUUAUUGUUAGUAUUUAUUGAGCCCUACCAUGUUCCAGAAACUGUUCUAGGCCCUGAGGCUAGAGAAUGACCAGAAAAAAUUAGGUGCCUUCACAGACCUUAUAUUUUGAUGAGGAAUACAUACAAGCAAAGGGAAAUUAAGAAAAAUAAAAGAUAAAUGAUAAGGAGAAAAAUAACAUUAGGUUAGAUACAGGAGCUGUUGGGGGAGAACAUACUGAAAUAUUGGAUUCAGUGGCCAGGGAAAAUGUCACAGAAGAAUCGAUCAGACCAUCCAUGCAAAUCUCUGGCAGAGAAAAUUCCAAGCAAAUGGAAUGGUAAGAGCAAAACUCUGAGUUGGAAGUCUGAUUAGCAUAUAUGAGGACAGCAAGGAGACUUGUGUGGAUAAAAUAAAGGGAAAGGAAAGAAAAGAAAGUGACAGAAUUGCUCGGUGGGUAUGGGGUGGAGGAGAACCAAGGAUCCAUAUCAUAAUAAGUACAGCCACUCAUUGCUUAAGAACAGUGAUAUAUUCUAAAUGUGUCGUUAGGCAAUGAUGUCGUUAUGCAAUUACUAUUAUAUUCUUGUGAAAUCAUAGAGUGUACUUACACAAAUAUACUAUAGCCUAUUCCUCUUAGGCUACAAACCUGUACAGCAUGUUACUGCACUUAAUACUGUAGACAAUUGUAACACAAUAGUAUUUGUGGAUCCAAACUUAUCUAAAU
ensembl:lncRNA LINC02822 long intergenic non-protein coding RNA 2822